rnacentral:rRNA from 1 species
GCUUACGGCACCCUCCCUGAGCACGCCCGAUCUCGUCUGAUCUCGGAAGCUAAGCAGGUCGGGCCCGUUAGUACUUGGAUGGGAGACCGCCUGGGAAUACCAGUGCUGUAAGCC